rnacentral:rRNA from 1 species
AUGAUUCGUCCUCCGCGGUGCCCUACGAGGCUCCGUACGUCCCCCACCUCCCCCUUCUUCCCGGUCCACCCCGGCAAGUGCAGUCUCUUCGUGCUCGACUCGCGCCAUGGCCUCGUCCUCUCAAAUACCAUCGGCCCGAGCGGCGAACCCCUCUGCCUCAUCGUGUGGGACCUCGUCGGCCACCGCCAGUGGCGGUUGCCCUUGCCGGAUUUCGUGGACUGGCCAACCUUUCCAGACUGCGCCGCCGCGGUGCUCUGCGCCGCCGAUGGCUGCGACCACCUCAAUUGCCCUGGCUACCCCUUCCGUGUGGUCUAUGUGGGCACCGAUGACGAUGGCGUCGCGCAAGCUUGCGUCUACUCUUCAGAGUCCUGUGCCUGGAGCCCCGUGACGUCUUGUGAGCACCCUGAAUUGCCCCUGCACGUCAGGCUCUCUCGGCCCAAUGCCCUUGUGGGAGAUGCAGUCUAUUUCUUGUGCACUCAGGAAACGGUAGUCCUGCGAUAUGACUUGUUCAGCCAGGAGCUAUCGAUGAUUCACUGGCCAGCCAUGCACAAGUGGAAGUGCAGCUAUAUCCUUAUGCGAAUGGAGGGCGAUAUGCUGGGCUGUGCCAAUCUGCAGGAGUCCAGGCUCGAACUAUGCUCGAUGGAGGCUGACGCAGACGGAGCUGUGAAAUGGGCAACACGCAGAGUCGUCGACCUCCAGAACUUGCUACCCUCGACCCCCAGAUAUGUGAUUAGCUGCACCGAUGAAUUUCGUGUCUUUUUUGUGCGGACAGAUCUUGGCACUUUCACAGUUGAGCUUAAUUCUGGCCGAGUUAAGAAGGUAUCCAGUAGCAGUGAAGUCAUUCCCUACACGAGGUUCUACACUCCAGACCUAGCUGGGGGCAUAACACCUCCAUCAACCAUGGCGUCCUCCUCAGAGAAUGUUGAGACGACCCAAGACGAGCACCAUGUGGGUGAUGAGAAGGAGAAAUGUGUAGAGAAGGGCGAGGACGAUUUUGACUUGGAGGAGAACGGAUGGGAGGAGGAGGCCGAGGAAGAGGAGUGGGGAUGGGAUAGGGAGAAAGCUGCAAAUGAGCUGUUUGCCAAGGGGUCCAAGGCGAUCGAGGAGGAACAAUUCGUUCACGCGAUUCACUGUUUCGACGAUGUCCUUGAGAGUAGGUUAGAGUUUCUCUCCCUUCCACAUGCUGCUCUUACUCCAUGGCCUGGCUGUAGCUUGCAUACAGAUGGAUUAUUGUAUUCAACCUCCAAUUAG